CCUUCUCUUUUUUGUAACUUGUAUCCCAAUAGGGAGAAACAAAUCUUCUACAGAAGUGAAUGAACCACCCCAGCAGCAAGAAGUGAAGCUGGGCAUGCUUGGAAGACAUAAAACGACAUAAUCUGGGUUCAGUUUCUCCAAACCACCGUUCUUUCCUGCAUAACGAGCAACUAAUAGGGACCUGGUUAGUAGAAUACAAGAGCAGAGCAAGGCCUUUUGAAAAUAAUUUCAGGGCUCUGUCUUUAUGGAUUAAAGACAUCAUGCAAGUAAAAAUGAAGAAGAAAACAGAGAAAAGAAGGAAGAAAGAAAAGAACAGUAAAGAGGAAGAAAGAAAGCAAGAAAGAAAAAAAUUGUAGAAUGACCCCCUCACAUUAAAAAAGCACACAACACCUCUAAGCAUUAUGUUAUUUAUGUUCUUUAUUGGAUGUCUCCUCUACAUUAACCUUCAAGACCUGAGGGAUCCUGUCGUCUUCAGUACUAUUUCUCAGGGCUGAGAAGAGUUCCUGGCUCAUAGGAAGUGUGAGAGAAAUGUGUAUCAGUUGACAUCCCUUCAGAAACAGAAAGGACACUUAAACUGGACAAUUAAAGAAGAUUUAAUACGGGGCCAUUUUCCAAGGUGUGGACAGAGUUUAGGCAAAGCGACAAAAGGUCAGGUGGUCCUGUAGGCUGGUAACAGCCAGAAGCACUUCCACCCCUUGGUGAAGGGGUGAGGGAGGAAAUCAUGGAGAAGGCCGGAACUGGGAGGAAAAGCUGAUAAGAGAAACACAUGACUGGAGCUGUGGCCUGCAGUAGAGGAAAAAACCAACCUGCAGUGGGAGCCAAUCCAGCAGAGAAAGUGAGAGGAAAAUGUCCUGACCUCACUGUCAUCUUGCCUUCCAAUUUCCUGCCCUCCCCUCAUUGCCCUAACCUAGCUGGAAGCCAAGACAGCAAGGGAGCACAUGAAUUUGGUCUACAGUCCAUGAAGAUUGCCUUGGCGGGGACACGGCAGCUUGGAGAAGGAUGGAAACAGAUGUGGGGAGGCACGUGGAAUAUUUUGGCGUCUGUGUUGUAGGUGAAUGAAUGAAAGACAAGGUACGAGUGAUCAUCUUAAGUCUAUUCUAAUACGCGUAAAAAUAGCAUGUCACUCAAAACUGCAUCCAUUUAACUAUUAUUAAAAAAUUGCUUUAUAUGAAACUUCCACCCAAUGCGUAUACACUGUGGCUGAGCACUGUUUCAUCAGUGUCCUGCUUACCCUGGCAGCAGCUCUUCUUAGAUGCAGAAUAACUUUUGGGCUCAUUAGCCUGGCCCACUAAGGGAAUCAUGAUUGGACCCCACUCCUUUUCCAGGCUUACUCCCUCUUGCCCUGAGCACUCUGCCCUUGCCUGCCCAGUGCUUUGGAAAAAAAGACCCACUUCAGUCCUUUGUGCUGCCAUGCCUUUGCUCACGCUCUUUCUUUUGCCUAUAAUAUGUUUACCCGAAUCUUCUUUUCAUCUUCCUUCUCUUGGCUAAAAAUUCUGCUUUUUUUCCAGAAUUACUUGCAUAUAACAUAUCUGAUGCUUUCUAUGACACCUUAUUCCAGUCUGUUUUAUCGUCUUUGUUUAGGUCUUACUUUAUUCCAAAGAGAUUCAAGGUAGGGAUCCUACAGAGUUAACAUCUAGUUCAUUUAGACUCUCAUAACGCUUUGAAAUGCCUUUAUUCACAUUGUCCUCCUUGUAUUGUAUUAUUUUAAAUUUCUGAUACAAGAUUGUGUUUGAGGUCAAGGACUCUGGACUUAUUUACUAUGAAACUCCAACAUCUAGACAAUGCCAAGUACAUAGUACUUGGUGAACAUAUAAUUGUUUAAUGAACAAAUGAAUGACAAAAAGGAGGCUAAAAUACCUAACCGUCCAGUAGGACUCCCACUCAAUGGAUUCUAAAGCUUUAGAAUCCAAGAAAUAAAGGAGAAUUCAUUUUCAUGAUUGUAAAAGCUGAGUGGAAGCGAUUCUUCUGAUUCUUAGGUACAAGCAUUUUUUUUUUAGACGGAGUCUCUCUCUGUCACCCAGGCUGGAGUGCAGUGGCACCAUCUCAGCUCACUGCAACCUCCGCCUCCUGGGUUCAAGUGAUUCUCCUGCCUCAGCCUCCCGAGUAGCUGGGACCACAGGCACGUGUCACCAUGCCCAGCUAAUUUUUGUAUGUUUAGUAGAGACAGGGUUUCACCAUGUUGGCUAGGUUGGUUUCAAUCUCUUGACCUCGUGAUCUGCCCACCUUAGCCUCCCAAAGUGCUAGGAUUACAGGUGUGAGCCACCACACCCAGCCAAUCAAGUCAUUCUUUAAGGUUCAUUUAUUUCUUGAAAAUAAAAAUAGUACAAGACUAAAACACCUAGAGAAGAAAAUCAACAAAUAGAGGGUGGAGAUUUUAAUAAAGCACCAAGGCAUACCUCUUCUCAUGUAUUAGAUACAUUCGCCAACUAUAAAUUAGUAUACAAAUAUUAGUGACUUAUCUUCAUCAUAGUCAUUAUCACCUGGUAAGAGAUACAGUUAACUAAAUUCUGAAAAAAUGUUAAAUAUUUGCAAUGAGGGUGGACCAAUAUUAGAAUAAAAUAUUCUGACCUUUCCUGGCGUUUGUGGCUUUUCCUCUGCAAUCUUAACUUUUCGUAGACUUCAUGUUUCAAAAGUUCACAUUUUGGAAGCCAG
rnacentral:lncRNA from 10 species